ACAACCAAAAAUAUAAGAGUUCGGUUCCCAG
rnacentral:piRNA from 1 species